rnacentral:lncRNA from 1 species
UUCAUUACAAAAGAGAAAAUUUAAGGAUACUAAGAGUUUUCUCGUUUAAGCUUACAAAAACACAUAAUUAUUCCCAAAAGAUACUUCAAAACUAACUUUUAGUUCACACCUCCUAACUAUUCUUCUUCUAGGAAGCACACUCAUGUGUUGAAUGAUUCUUCUAUAUUGCUUGUUUGUAAGGAAGAGCUGGAUUGGUAAACUAUAUAUAUGCUACUUGGGUGAAAUUCGAUAUAGGGAUGAGAAUUGGAGGUUGAUACCACACAAACUGAGGGCAAGGCACUAAUCUUUGAGUGAACCUAUAUUAUCUAACAACUUAUGGAUCUCCUCCUUCAAAUAAUAGCAGUCAUCAAUAGUGUGAACUGGCAUUCCCGAGCCAAAGGUGCAUGGCCUGGCUAGAUUGAAAUAUAGGGGAAGGAUAGGAGAUUUCAGUUGCUUGAUCCCAGCUAAUUUCAAUCUCUUACAUAUGAAUGAAGAUGGUUAAUUCAGUGGGAUGAAACUUUUAAGUUUUCUCAUUUUGGGAAUUGGCGGCGAAGGGCUUGGCGCUUCAACAGUCAAUAUUUUCACUUGUCUCAACCCAAUUGCUUUUUGAAAGAAAGACUUCAAAAAAUUUAUUUGCUUUUGAUUUGAACUUUGGAAAGUAAAAAGAAAAUAUUUUUGUUUGAAUUUCCGUUUGUUUUCUAUUCUUCUUAAAGAAGAAAGAAAAUAUUUUUUAAUUUUCGAUAUUGCUUCUUAAUUUCCGAAAGGGGGAC